rnacentral:lncRNA from 1 species
AUACUCAUGGAUUAAUUGGUGCUGGCUGGGCCUGCCAGCCUAGUCGUGGCCCCAGGGUCCCCACUAAAGGGCUCCUUCUCCAGCGCCCACUCUGUUGGCAAGGUCUUCACUACCAUCACCUGCCUGGACUCCAUCCAAGCAUCAGGGUUGCUGCAGUCGCUCCUGAAGAGACCCGGCUCUGCUUGAAAGUUCUUCCCUCAGCGCCUGCUGGAGCCCUCCCUGCCGGAGUUGCCAGAAUCCACACGGAUAUUGGCCUCUCUCAAGGUACUUCCAAGAUCUCAGAGGGCCAUUCACUGUGGAUCUAAUAUGAAGACAGAGAAACCAGCCUUCCAGAGGAGCGGACACAUUUCCUUAGUCCCAGGAUACACUUUGUGUGGAAUCCACAGAUCUGCCCUGAUGAUCAUGAAGGAAUGCGAAAGAGCCUGGUAAAACGAUAUGGACUUGUGCAAAUGCAAAGCAAUGGUGAAGUCAUCACGAACCGCACAGACUGGACAGAACUCCUAUCUGGCUGCAAUGGCUUGGGUUCAGUCAGCCCAGGGGCCAGAGAAUUGGCUACAAAGAGCUCUGGAGUGCCCCUCCCUCCAAAUAAAGUAUUCUAAGCGUGCACUG